UACGGAGGAUGCGAGCGUUAUCCGGAUUUAUUGGGUUUAAAGGGUGCGUAGGCGGAUCGUUAAGUCAGUGGUCAAAUUGAGGGGCUCAACCCCUUCCCGCCAUUGAAACUGGCGUUCUUGAGUGGAAGAGAAGUAUGCGGAAUGCGUGGUGUAGCGGUGAAAUGCUUAGAUAUCAUGAAGAACUCCGAUCGCGAAGGCAAGUGUCCGGGGUGCAACUGACGCUGAGGCUCGAAAGUGCGGGUAUCAAACAGG
rnacentral:rRNA from 1 species